rnacentral:rRNA from 1 species
UGGGGAAUAUUGCACAAUGGACGGAAGUCUGAUGCAGCAACGCCGCGUGCGGGAUGACGGCCUUCGGGUUGUAAACCGCUUUUUCUCAUGACGAAGUUUUUUGACGGUAGUGGGGGUAGAAGCACCGGCUAACUUCGUGCCAGCAGCCGCGGUGAUACGUAGGGUGCGAGCGUUGUCCGGAAUUAUUGGGCGUAAAGAGCUUGUAGGCGGUUUGUCGCGUCGAUAGUGCAAACUCAGUGCUUAACGCUGAGCCUGCUGUUGAGACGGGGAGACUAGAGGAAGGUAGGGGAGGGUGGAAUUCCCGGUGGAGCGGUGGAAUGCGCAAAUAUCGGGAGGAACACCGGUGGCGGAGGCGGUUCUCUGGGCCUUUGAUGACGCUGAGAAGCAAAAGCGUGGGGAGCGAACAGG